rnacentral:rRNA from 1 species
UACGUAGGGUGCGAGCGUUGUCCGGAAUUACUGGGCGUAAAGGGCUCGUAGGCGGUUUGUCGCGUCGGGAGUGAAAACACCGGGCUUAACUCGGUGCUUGCUUUCGAUACGGGCAGACUAGAGGCAUGCAGGGGAGAACGGAAUUCCUGGUGUAGCGGUGAAAUGCGCAGAUAUCAGGAGGAACACCGGUGGCGAAGGCGGUUCUCUGGGCAUGUCCUGACGCUGAGGAGCGAAAGUGUGGGGAGCGAACAGG